rnacentral:rRNA from 1 species
GUGGGGAAUAUUGCGCAAUGGGGGGAACCCUGACGCAGCAACGCCGCGUGAAGGAAGAAGGUCUUCGGAUUGUAAACUUUUGUCUUCAGGGAAGAAGAAGUGACGGUACCUGAGGAGGAAGCUCCGGCUAACUACGUGCCAGCAGCCGCGGUAAUACGUAGGGAGCGAGCGUUGUCCGGAAUUACUGGGUGUAAAGGGUGCGUAGGCGGGUAUGCAAGUCACAUGUGAAAUACCGGGGCUCAACUCCGGGGCUGCAUGAGAAACUGUAUAUCUUGAGUGCAGAAGAGGUAAGCGGAAUUCCUAGUGUAGCGGUGAAAUGCGUAGAUAUUAGGAGGAACACCAGUGGCGAAGGCGGCUUACUGGGCUGUAACUGACGCUGAGGCACGAAAGCGUGGGGAGCAAACAGGAUUAGAAACCCGAGUAGUCC